rnacentral:rRNA from 1 species
GUGUGAAUUGCAGAAUUCCGCGAAUCAUCGAGUCUUUGAACGCAAGUUGCGCCCGAGGCUUGACCAAGGGCAUCUCUGCCAGAGCGUCACCGCGACACCCACCAGUCCACUCCCAAUUACUCUUUCAAGAGUAGUUGGGAGUGCAGCACUGAGUGAAAGUGGCCGUCCGAAUGGGGGCCACCCGAAUGAUUCAUUGUUGGGGUGGCCAGAUUGGGUCGGCUGAAAUAGAGGGAAUUUGGCCGCCGUGGUGACACAGCCCGCGAUCAGGUGAUCAAAGGAAAACUCCUUGGACAAAUGUGCACGGUGCUGUGUCUCCCAGUUGGAUUCCAAAGCAGGUCUCUCCCCAACUGCCCCUGACUUAGAAGACUCUGAGUGGGGGGGAGGGAGGGAGACGAAGUCCCGCAUCAGACCUCUGAUCAGAGAAGACUACCCGCUGAGUUUAA